rnacentral:rRNA from 1 species
AGCAGUAGCCGCGGUAAUACGUAGGUCCCGAGCGUUGUCCGGAUUUAUUGGGCGUAAAGCGAGCGCAGGCGGUUAGAUAAGUCUGAAGUUAAAGGCUGUGGCUUAACCACAGUACGCUUUGGAAACUGUUUAACUUGAGUGCAAGAGGGGAGAGUGGAAUUCCAUGUGUAGCGGUGAAAUGCGUAGAUAUAUGGAGGAACACCGGUGGCGAAAGCGGCUCUCUGGCUUGUAACUGACGCUGAGGCUCGAAAGCGUGGGGAGCAAACAGGAUUAGAUACCCCGGUAGUCCCUGUCUCUUAUACA